AGGACGAACGCUGGCGGCGUGCCUAACACAUGCAAGUUGAGCGACGAACCAGGGCUUGCCCUGGGGCAAAGCAGCGAACGGGUGAGUAACACGUGGGUAACCUGCCCCGAUAACCGGGACAACCCGAGGAAACUCGGGCUAAUACCGGAUGUGCUCGCCGGACUCCAGUCCGGCGCGUAAAGGAAGCUUCGGCCUCCGUAUCGGGAGGGCCCGUGGCCCAUUAGCUAGUUGGUGAGGUAACGGCUCACCAAGGCUACGAUGGGUAGCUGGUCUGAGAGGACGAUCAGCCACACUGGGACUGAGACACGGCCCAGACUCCUACGGGAGGCAGCAGUGGGGAAUCUUGCGCAAUGCGCGAAAGCGUGACGCAGCAACGCCGCGUGGGGAAGAAGGCCUUCGGGUUGUAAACCCCUUUCAAGGAGGACGAAGGUUCGGCGGUGAAUAGCCGACGGACUGACGGUACCUCCAGAAGAAGCCCCGGCUAACGUACGUGCCAGCAGCCGCGGU
rnacentral:rRNA from 1 species